GUGGAUUAGAUACCCUAGUAGUCCACGCCGUAAACGAUGGAUACUAGCUGUUGGGGGCAACUUCAGUGGCUAAGCGAAAGUGAUAAGUAUCCCACCUGGGGAGUACGUUCGCAAGAAUGAAACUCAAAGGAAUUGACGGGGGCCCGCACAAGCGGUGGAGCAUGUGGUUUAAUUCGAUGAUACGCGAGGAACCUUACCAAGGCUUAAAUGUAGUUUGACCGAUUUGGAAACAGAUUUUUCGCAAGACAAAUUACAAGGUGCUGCACGGCCGUCGCCAGCU
rnacentral:rRNA from 1 species